CCUACGGGAGGCAGCAGUGGGGAAUUUUGGACAAUGGGCGCAAGCCUGAUCCAGCAAUGCCGCGUGAGUGAAGAAGGCCUUCGGGUUGUAAAGCUCUUUUGUCAGGGAAGAAACGGUUGGGGCUAAUAUCCUCGGCUAAUGACGGUACCUGAAGAAUAAGCACCGGCUAACUACGUGCCAGCAGCCGCGGUAAUACGUAGGGUGCAAGCGUUAAUCGGAAUUACUGGGCGUAAAGCGUGCGCAGGCGGUUUUGUAAGUCUGUCGUGAAAGCCCCGGGCUUAACCUGGGAAUUGCGAUGGAGACUGCAAGGCUUGAAUCUGGCAGAGGGGGGUAGAAUUCCACGUGUAGCAGUGAAAUGCGUAGAGAUGUGGAGGAACACCGAUGGCGAAGGCAGCCCCCUGGGUCAAGAUUGACGCUCAUGCACGAAAGCGUGGGGAGCAAACAGGAUUAGAUACCCUGGUAGUCCACGCCCUAAACGAUGUCUACUAGUUGUCGGGUCUUAAUUGACUUGGUAACGCAGCUAACGCGUGAAGUAGACCGCCUGGGGAUACGGUCGCAAGAUUAAAACUCAAAGGAUUGACCGGNNGAGAGNGACGAGACGACGACGAGGGAGGAGG
rnacentral:rRNA from 1 species